GACGAACGCUGGCGGCGUGCUUAACACAUGCAAGUCGAACGGAAAGGCCCUGCUUGCAGGGUACUCGAGUGGCGAACGGGUGAGUAACACGUGGGUGAUCUGCCCUGCACUUCGGGAUAAGCCUGGGAAACUGGGUCUAAUACCGGAUAGGAGCCAUUUUUAGUGUGAUGGUUGGAAAGUUUUUUCGGUGUGGGAUGAGCUCGCGGCCUAUCAGCUUGUUGGUGGGGUAAUGGCCUACCAAGGCGGCGACGGGUAGCCGGCCUGAGAGGGUGGACGGCCACAUUGGGACUGAGACACGGCCCAGACUCCGACGGGGGGCAGCAGUGGGGAAUAUUGCACAAUGGGCGCAAGCCUGAUGCAGGGACGCCGCGGGGGGGAUGACGGGCUUCGGGUUGGAAACUCGUUUCGCUAGGGACGAAGCUUUUUGUGACGGUACCUAGAUAAGAAGCACCGGCUAACUACGUG
rnacentral:rRNA from 1 species